rnacentral:rRNA from 1 species
ACGAACGCUGGCGGCACGCUUAACACGUGCAAGUCGAACGAGAGAAGAGAAGCUUGCUUUUCUGAUCUAGUGGCGGACGGGUGAGUAACACGUGAGCAAUCUGCCUUUCAGAGGGGGAUACCGAUUGGAAACGAUCGUUAAUACCGCAUAAUAUAAUUGAACCGCAUGAUUUGAUUAUCAAAGAUUUAUCGCUGAAAGAUGAGCUCGCGUCUGAUUAGCUAGUUGGUAAGGUAACGGCUUACCAAGGCGACGAUCAGUAGCCGGACUGAGAGGUUGAUCGGCCACAUUGGGACUGAGACACGGCCCAGACUCCUACGGGAGGCAGCAGUGGGGAAUAUUGCACAAUGGAGGAAACUCUGAUGCAGCGAUGCCGCGUGAGGGAAGAAGGUUUUAGGAUUGUAAACCUCUGUCUUCAGGGACGAAAAAAGACGGUACCUGAGGAGGAAGCUCCGGCUAACUACGUGCCAGCAGCCGCGGUAAUACGUAGGGAGCGAGCGUUGUCCGGAAUUACUGGGUGUAAAGGGAGCGUAGGCGGGAUCGCAAGUCAGAUGUGAAAACUAUGGGCUUAACCCAUAAACUGCAUUUGAAACUGUGGUUCUUGAGUGAAGUAGAGGUAAGCGGAAUUCCUAGUGUAGCGGUGAAAUGCGUAGAUAUUAGGAGGAACAUCAGUGGCGAAGGCGGCUUACUGGGCUUUAACUGACGCUGAGGCUCGAAAGCGUGGGGAGCAAACAGGAUUAGAUACCCUGGUAGUCCACGCCGUAAACGAUGAUUACUAGGUGUGGGGGGACUGACCCCUUCCGUGCCGCAGCAAACGCAAUAAGUAAUCCACCUGGGGAGUACGACCGCAAGGUUGAAACCCAAAGGAAUUGACGGGGGCCCGCACAAGCAGUGGAGUAUGUGGAUUAAUUCGAAGCAACGCGAAGAACCUUACCAGGUCUUGACAUCGUAUGCAUAGCUCAGAGAUGAGUGAAAUCUCUUCGGAGACAUAUAGACAGGUGGUGCAUGGUUGUCGUCAGCUCGUGUCGUGAGAUGUUGGGUUAAGUCCCGCAACGAGCGCAACCCUUACUGUUAGUUGCUACGCAAGAGCACUCUAGCAGGACUGCCGUUGACAAAACGGAGGAAGGUGGGGAUGACGUCAAAUCAUCAUGCCCCUUAUGACCUGGGCCUCACACGUACUACAAUGGCUGUUAACAGAGGGAUGCAAAGCCGCGAGGUGGAGCGAACCCCUAAAAGCAGUCUUAGUUCGGAUUGUAGGCUGCAACCCGCCUACAUGAAGUCGGAAUUGCUAGUAAUCGCAGAUCAGCAUGCUGCGGUGAAUACGUUCCCGGGCCUUGUACACACCGCCCGUCACGCCAUGGGAGUCGGUAACACCCGAAGCCUGUAGUCUAACCGCAAGGAGGACGCAGUCGAAGGUGGGAUUGAUGACUGGGGUG